UGCACGCUGGCGGCGUGCCUAAUACAUGCAAGUCGAGCGAACAGACGAGGAGCUUGCUCCUCUGACGUUAGCGGCGGACGGGUGAGUAACACGUGGAUAACCUACCUAUAAGACUGGGAUAACUUCGGGAAACCGGAGCUAAUACCGGAUAAUAUAUUGAACCGCAUGGUUCAAUAGUGAAAGACGGUUUUGCUGUCACUUAUAGAUGGAUCCGCGCCGCAUUAGCUAGUUGGUAAGGUAACGGCUUACCAAGGCGACGAUGCGUAGCCGACCUGAGAGGGUGAUCGGCCACACUGGAACUGAGACACGGUCCAGACUCCUACGGGAGGCAGCAGUAGGGAAUCUUCCGCAAUGGGCGAAAGCCUGACGGAGCAACGCCGCGUGAGUGAUGAAGGUCUUCGGAUCGUAAAACUCUGUUAUUAGGGAAGAACAAAUGUGUAAGUAACUAUGCACGUCUUGACGGUACCUAAUCAGAAAGCCACGGCUAACUACGUG
rnacentral:rRNA from 1 species